GGCAUAAAUCAAGUCCGCGGGGCAUGGAGGCUGCUGUCGCUGCAGCAGCUCAGCUUGCCCGGGGCGGGAACUCCCCCUUUCUCCUUUCGCCUCCCCAGCACCCACACCCUGUCUCCCCCUUAAUUCUUCCCUGGAUAAUAGCACCCUAACGACAACAGUCAUAAUAAUAGGGUUAGAACGACAGGGGAGGAAAACUCAACAGCCUAAAUAUCUCUGAAAACUGCAUCGCAAAAUGGAAGAAAGAGGGGGUCCCACUACUGUUUCAAAAGAGAGCCAUGGAAGUCAAAUGCUGAGGAUGGUGGCAUCAUAGGAUGAAUGGAGCUGGGUUCUUGAAACACUGCCUGGAGGAAAGACAGCAAAAAUGCCUCAUGAAUCCAACUGGACUGUUAGGAUGCUCACCCUUGGAGACCAGCAACAAUGUGUGCAGAAACCCAGGCCAUGUGGAGAGGCCCCACAUACGUGUCCAACUGAGGUCCCAGCUGACAGCUGGCAUUGACAUAAUGUUCACUCUGGGGGAAGCCAGCUGCCACGCUGUAAGGACACUCGGGCAGUCCUAUGAAGAGGCCCGUGUGGUGAGAAAGAGAGGCCUCCAGCCAACAGCCAUAGAUGGGGUCUUGCUAUGUUUCCCAGUUGGAGUGCAGUGAUUAUUCACAGACAUGAUCCCACUACUGAUCAGCAUGGGAGUUUUCACCUGCUCCAUUUCCCACCUGGGAGGUCAUCAUAUUGAUGGCGAGCUAAGUGUGGACACCUGAUCAGCAUAGCACAGUACAGCCCAGAACCCCUGGGCUCCAGUGAUCCUCUUACUUCAGCCUCUUGAGUAGCUGGAACUACAGGCCUGCACCACUGCACCCGGCUAGUUUGUUUUUGUUAGAGUUUUGUCUCUAGGAUUUUCCUCAGCUGAGUAUGUGAAGGCUAACUUCUCCUUGUGAAUCUGCAAAUAUCCUUAUUUUACCCUUUAUUUUACCAUGUAUCAUUUACAGGUAAAUGAUAUCUUAGCUGUGUAUUGAAUUUCUGUUUUUUGUUUUUUCUUCAGUACUCUAUAAAUAUUACUCCAGUAUCUUCUAGCUUCUCCCAUUUUCUCCUAGUGAAUGGUUAUUCUGCUCUUAUCUAGCAGGUGAUAAAUCUGUCAACAGAUAGUUUUUCCUUUUUGUUUUAUGUGUAAGUUGUUAUUUCUUCCUUAAAGUUCAUAAUCUUUUCCCAUUUAUUCUCUAAAUUUUAGACUAUAACCAGGAUGUGUUUAGGUUGAUAUCUUUGCUUAUCUAUUCUGCCUGGAAAUCAGGAACCUCUUCCAAUAUUCAGACUUGUGUUUUCAGCUCAGAAUAAUUAUUUUAUCAUUUGUUUGAUUAUUCCUUUAGUUGCACUGGAUCUUAGUUAAAAUGCCCAUUCUGAUUCAAAGUAUCUGGAAGGCAAGUAUUUGUCAACUAAGGGAAAGGUGACCAUGCAUCAUUGGUUUUGCUGAGACUACCUGGUUUACACCUUCAGGCUUUAUACUUAGAAAAUAUUGCGAUCAUCUUCUGGUCAUGAAGUUACAAACUUCAGGACAAAGGCUAACCAGCUAAGACUAGCAGAGCAAAUUCCAAGAACUUGGGGCUUUAAUUAACUUGAAUUGAUUUGGACUUGCCCUACCUUUAACUUCACACUGAGAUAAAAAUUCCCCACAUUUUCAAGCCAUUUUUGAGAUGAGUCUCUUAUGGUUGAAAGCAUCCUAAUUUAUACAACAUCCUUUUGGUACCUAACUAAAUAUUCACCAAUAUUUGGCACAUUUGUUAAAUCUUUUGGUGUGUGCCUCUUCUAUGUAAUGUAAAUAUGGUCUGAAUAUCCAUUCAGAAAUUAUAGUUGAUUUGCAAAAAUAACUACUAUAUCACCUAUAUUAAUUGAUAGUUAUUCCUUCCCAACCUUCUUUCACUCUUCCAUAUAUAUACAGAGUAAAUCUACAUCAUUAUGUUGAUUAAACAAAAUAGCAGUGAAAUCAGGAUGUUACUGCUCAUUGUGCAUUUAUUUCAAUUAUGGAAAAAGCCAACACUUUACUCCCUUAUUUAACACUUCUGUAGAAAAGCAGUUGAAAUAACCUAGUGUCAUUCUAAAAUGAUUUGUAUACUAUGUAGACCAGAAUCUAGGGCUAUACCUAAAAAUACAUAAAUGAAAUUAUUCUAGAAGUUAAAUCUUCAUGAAAAAACAAAUUAAAUGGUUUACUAACCUCAAGCUGAUUAAAUGUUUUUAUUAAAUGCAGCCUCAGCCAGCACCUCUUUUCAUGGCUGCAAUAAUUAAGUAUAAUAAAUAUUCAAAUCAGUAAUUGAAUUUGUUAAAAAAAACAUGCUCAGCUCAGUGAAGACUUUCUAAUAAAUAGAAUUCAGGUACCAUAUUUUCAUACUUCAUGACACUUGCCUCAUCUUAGUUUGAUGACUGCCGUUUCUUGCACUGUAACAAGAUUUUAUUUUUAUUUUGUUUUACGCUAUUCAAACAAAUACAUUCAAAGUCAUAGGCUACACCUAUGUAUAACCAUAUUCUGAGAGUUGGCUUAUGUGUUUGUUUAUUUUCUCACAAUUAAAGAUAGGUCAGAUGUUGCCAAAUUAGUAAAUAACUAAACUUGAGAUGGGAAAUACUCUAGAGACACAAUCUGCUUAGUUUUGCAUAGUUUUGCAUAGUUUUAGUCACUUUUCCCGUUACUCUGUCCAGCUUUCCAGUAAUACUCAUAACAUUGCCUUGAUUUCAUAUGACCACGCAGUAAAGUGAUUACUGCACUUAGAAUUUUGUUGCUUUUGCUGUGCUAACAACUUAAAAGUUUAAAAUAACUGAUGUUCAAAACAGUGAAGAUUUCCUUUUAUAAACAAGUUGGAAAGGAAAGUUUUUAUGUUAUUAUCCUCAAGUAUUCUAACUAAUAUAAAAUGUCUUUCAGUCUUUUAGGCAAACCAUUUAGACAAAAAGUACAAAUAAUAAAUUUACAUUGUGUUAAGCUGCG
rnacentral:lncRNA from 1 species